rfam:Ovis aries breed Texel chromosome 3, whole genome shotgun sequence.
UCCCUCAUAGCUCAGUCAGUAAAGAAUCUGCCUGCAAUGCAGGAGACCUGGGUUCGAUUUCUCAGUUGGGAAG